ACUGUUGUGAAUCCAUUUCCCUGAAGUUUAAAGGGUGUGAGCUACUAGUCCCGACGUAGUACUUGUGUCAAUUGCAGCCAUGGAGUCUGCCCACAACGUCACCCACUCUUCUUCCCUAGUAACUGUAGUCACCACUUCAACAUGAGAGAAUAUGGUGAUAUCCUCCAUUGUUGCAUUUCUCAAGGUUAAGUGGAGUGAACACACAGCUUGUAGCGAUCAGGUUCUUGUCCAGUGAAAGUGGUUUCUGACCUCUCCCUUUGAGUUCCUAGAUGAUCUUUUCACCUGUUUGACGAUCAGGCAAGUUGGUUUUUUCAUGUUGAUCUGAAAUAUUAUUCAGGGGAGGAAUAGAUGAGGUGCAUGGAAUGGUAUUGAUUCUUCGAGAUGGUUUCACAUCACAGUGCAUGGAGCGACGAAUGACAAUCUGCUGCUGCACACAAGUUAUCAACCGGGUCCGAGUUAAAUAAGGCUGAUCAGGGUGAUGAGAAGCAGCAGCUCCUCACCAAGCAUGACUUUCCACCACAGGCUCAUCCGCUGUCACUGUUCGAAAUCAUCAGCCACAAGCUGGUCCAAGGGCAGCCACCGAAAGUCCUACAACCACAAUCUCCCAAAAGAGAAGAAAAACAGGUACUAGAACACGAAGAAGAUGCCAGCGAACAAGAAGAAGUAGAAGAACAGGAAGCAGCAGCCACCACGAUCCAGCAACGCUUUCUUACCAUCCCCCUGACUUGAUGUUUGGUGGAUUGACUGUUUGCAGGCUUUGAAAGGGUUGGUGAGGCUUCAGGCUUUGGUGCGAGGACAUCUGGUCCGCAGACAAGCCGCCAAAACGUUGCGAACCAUGGAAGCCAUAGUUCGUGUGCAAGCUGUGUUUCGAGGACGGCCUGUGAGAAUGUGCUUCAAAGGUGGCCUUGAGAGCUGUAAGAAGCUGCAGAACAUCAAGUCUAGCUCCAAGGCACAGCUCUAAUGGUGUGGUGCAUAAUGAGUGCUGAAUUGCAGGACAAGGUGAAGAUUGUAGGAAGUAUAGAGAAGCAAGCAAAGGUAAAAGUUCGAACUACGGCGCAUCUCAUCAACAGCUGAAGGAGACUACCCCAAACCAUAGCUCUUCUUUCACAGACUGUGACGCAAACCAUCCGCAAAAAGGCUGGGCAUGGGUGGAGCUCUGGACAUAAACCAGACCAUGGGUUCACAACACGCGCCAAGGCGGUGACUCAGACUCUGGCAAAGAUUCAUACAUUGAAAUCAACCCAAACCAGUCCUAGUACUACACCACAAAGGAAGUGAACGUCAACACCAAGGUCAAAUAUUAUGACGAUUACAUCUCAGACCAGGCCCCCAAAAAGACCCACUUCUCCUCACGACUCAUGAAGAAGGAGCUUGGUGUUGACUGGUCUGCACACAAACUACUGCAAAUGGAGGUGCCGGAUGCCACAGAAGAAGACCAGAAAGUGAGCACUCCAGAGUCAUCAUCUUCACUUUCUCAAGGCAAUGAAGGUUCGGAUGCUUCAUCUGUUAAAAAUGCGAGUCCACAAGGUUCGGAUGCUGCGUCUGUUUGUCAAAUGACAGAGACGUCUGCGGGAACUAGCAUGGUGGAAUUUGGUGGCGGUCAAGAGCCAUCAUGUGAUGGUGUGGCCAUGGAGCAGUUGGUGUUACAUGUCCAGGCAAUCAUGGAGGAGCUGAUCCAGCGCUCAGUGACAGUUUGUCGGGGUCCAAUGGUGUGCAUGUACAGGAAGAAGAUGCAAUUCUUGGCUUAGCUUCAGGUAUACUUAGCAUUUUAUAAAGUCAAACUCUCGUUUAACAAAACUGUGAUGUGAUGUGAUGUGAUGAAAUUAUAUUAUUAAGCAAUGUUUUCUUCCUUGCUCCGGAGUUGCGCUUUCUCGCCUAGAAGACGCGCUUUCUCAUCUU